CGGAGGACUUUGAUAGCAUGAUUUACCUUUCUUUAUGCAUUAAUAUGGUAAAACUUUGAACUUGUAGUAGAGAUUUCGAUGUGUUAAGAUUGAUUCUUGAAUAUUCACUAUAUUAUUUUUUGUAUUUGGCUGAUAUUAUUUUAUUUUGAAAUGAUCCCGCAGCAACCUACGGGGCACGAUCCUAGUUUUCUUAAAAAAGAAACCGUGUUUAGUACGAGUAGUAGCCACCGGUCGCUUUCCUUUGUAAUCGGCUC
rnacentral:lncRNA from 1 species